GCGCGAAAACUUUACAAUGCUGGCAACAGCGAUAAGGGAACCUCGAGUGCCAGGUUACAAAUCUGGCUGUCGAGAUGCCUAAAAAGCAUUUCAUAGCAAGGGCAGGGCAAGACCGGUGCCAGCCGCCGCGGUAACACCGGCGGCUCGAGUGGUAACCGUUAUUAUUGGGUCUAAAGGGUCUGUAGCCGGCCGGAUAAGUCUCUUGAGAAAUCUGGCAGCUUAACUGUCAGGCUUUCAGGAGAUACUGUCUGGCUCGAGGCCGGGAGAGGUGAGAGGUACUUCAGGGGUAGGGGUGAAAUCUUGUAAUCCUUGAAGGACCACCAGUGGCGAAGGCGUCUCACCAGAACGGACCUGACGACAAGGGACGAAAGCUAGGGGCACGAACC
rnacentral:rRNA from 1 species